rnacentral:rRNA from 1 species
CGCUGGCGGCGUGCCUAACACAUGCAAGUCGAGCGAGGAGAUCCUUCGGGAUGAUCCUAGCGGCGACGGGUGAGUAACACGUGGGCAACCUGCCUCAUAGAGAGGAAUAGCCUUCCGAAAGGGAGAUUAAUACCUCAUACAUUGCAGUUUCGCAUGGAACAGCAAUUAAAGGAGUAAUCCGCUAUGAGAUGGGGCCCGCGGCGCAUUAGCUAGUUGGUGAGGUAACGGCUCACCAAGGCGACGAUGCGUAGCCGACCUGAGAGGGUGAUCGGCCACAUUGGGACUGAGACACGGCCCAGACUCCUACGGGAGGCAGCAGUGGGGAAUAUUGCACAAUGGGGGAAACCCUGAUGCAAGCAACGCCGCGUGAGUGAUGACGGCCUUCGGGGUUGUAAAGCUCUGUCUUCAGGGACGAUAAUGACGGUACCUGAGGAGGAAGCCACGGCUAACUACGUGCCAGCAGCCGC